UACGUAGGGUGCAAGCGUUGUCCGGAAUUAUUGGGCGUAAAGAGCUCGUAGGUGGCCUGUCGCGUCGGCUGUGAAAACUCGGGGCUCAACUCCGAGCUUGCAGUCGAUACGGGCAGGCUAGAGUUCUGCAGGGGAGACUGGAAUUCCUGGUGUAGCGGUGAAAUGCGCAGAUAUCAGGAGGAACACCGGUGGCGAAGGCGGGUCUCUGGGCCGAUACUGACGCUGAGGAGCGAAAGCGUGGGGAGCGAACAGG
rnacentral:rRNA from 1 species